UACGUAGGGUGCAAGCGUUGCCCGGAUUUAUUGGGCGUAAAGGGCGCGUAGGCGGCCCGUCGCGUCGUGCGUGAAAUCUCCCGGCUCAACCGGGAGGGGUCGUGCGAUACGGGCGGGCUUGAGCAGAGCAGGGGGCAGUGGAAUUCCCGGUGUAGUGGUGGAAUGCGUAGAGAUCGGGAGGAACACCAGUGGCGAAGGCGACUGCCUGGGCUCGUGCUGACGCUGAGGCGCGAAAGCGUGGGGAGCGAUCCGG
rnacentral:ncRNA from 2 species